CCUACGGGAGGCAGCAGUGAGGAAUAUUGGUCAAUGGGCGUAAGCCUGAACCAGCCAAGUCGCGUGAGGGAUGAAGGUUCUAUGGAUCGUAAACCUCUUUUAUAAGGGAAUAAAGUGCGGGACGUGUCCCGUUUUGUAUGUACAUUAUGAAUAAGGAUCGGCUAACUCCGUGCCAGCAGCCGCAGUAAUACGGAGGAUCCGAGCGUUAUCCGGAUUUAUUGGGUUUAAAGGGUGCGUAGGCGGCCUUUUAAGUCAGCGGUGAAAGUCUGUGGCUCAACCAUAGAAUUGCAGUUGAAACUGGGAGGCUUGAGUAUGUGUGAGGCAGGCGGAAUGCGUGGUGUAGCGGUGAAAUGCUUAGAUAUCACGCAGAACCCCGAUUGCGAAGGCAGCUUGCCAAGCCAUGACUGACGCUGAUGCACGAAAGCGUGGGGAUCAAACAGGAUUAGAUACCCCUGUAGUC
rnacentral:rRNA from 1 species